GCUGUCACUACCUUUAAAGGUGCACGUGUCGUAACCGCAGGGCGAAUAAAUUGAAACAGGAUGACUUUGGAGUCUUAUAAAAUGAGAGGACAAAGGUGUUUUAAUUCAGUGUAGCGAGUGCAGUUUUGCAGAUAUGGCUAACUACGGCGCGAUGCUGCUGUUGGUUGUUGUUUCUUUGAUGGCUGGUGUAGCCAUGGGUGGACCGAUGGGCUCGUCUUCAUCAGGAUACUACACUACUCCGGCGCCUUACUACACGACAACAUAUGCUGCCCCCAGCUACUACACCGGGUCACCUCAGUACUACACGACAAAAGCGUCAGAGUAUUACACAACAGCCUCUUACUACACCACUACGUAUGCUGCUCCGACCUACUACACUGAAGCCCCCAUGUACUACUCGGCUCCAAGUUACUACACAGAGGCCCCAAUUUAUUACACGACAACUUACUCUACUCCAAGCUACUACACUGAGGCUACCAAAUACUACGCAGCAAAGGCACCGGAGUAUUACACAACGACUUACGCUGCCCCAAGUUACUACACCGCAACUGGUCCUUCGUACUACGUGGAACCUAGCUACUACACCACAACUUAUGCUGCUCCGUCUUACUAUGCUGAGGCUGCUGAAUACUACACCACCAAGGCUCCCGAGUACACAACGUAUGCUUCGCCAAGUUACUAUACCGAAGCCCCAAAGUACUACACUACUACCUAUGCUGCUCCAAUUUACUACACCGAAGCUCCCCAAUCCUACACCACUAGCCACUGAAUACUACACUACUGCAGCCCCGGAGUAUUACCCCAAGAAAACUGAGUAAUACACCACACCUUACGCAGCUCCAGCCUACUACACUGAGCCCCCAAAGUAUUACCAGACUGAGGCUCCACAAUACUACACCACGAAGGCCCCCGAGUACUACACCAUAAAGUAUUCUGCUCCCAUCUACUACACCGAGGCACCCAAGUACUACUCAGCUCCAAGUUACUACCAAACUGAAGCCCCCAAAUACUACACCACAAAAGCGCCAGAGUACUACACCACCACUUACGCUGCUCCCAGUUACUACACCGAGGCUCCAGCCUACUACACAACAUAUGCAACCCCAUCCUACUACACUGAGCCACCAAAGUACUAUUAAUCGUUAAAAUUGUGUUGUCUAUCUAGUUCGAUGAAGUGUCAAUUAGAUUUUGUUUUAUCAUUGGUAGUCCUCGUUCCAAAUUAAGUAUUUCCUUGAUAUAUAUUUAUGCAUUCACCAGUCGUUCCAUAACAUUGUGGUUUCUCAAUGAAAUGUUGAAUACAAAUGUAUAUUGUUACCUAA